GGAAUUGAUCCAAACAAAAUAAAGAGCAACUCGAUAUGUAAUGAAACGCAACGUUUUUGAUUUAGGGAUUAAACCAUUCUUCGUCUCCGCCAUACGAAAGCUAAACUCGAUCUAUGGUUUCGAAAGAGUUCUUUCAUCUUCUUCCUAAAAAUUCUGAGAGUCAAUCAGUUACAGGUUCAUCUUCUUAAAGUCGUUGCUUAAAUCCAUGACCCACAAUCUCUCUUCAAUGCGAUCAUUAAUAUGGGAGGCGGUGGAAUUGCGACUAUAAAAAAAUCGGACACUGCUCCUCCACCUUAAAGUGCGGUUUCUCCGUUAUUGGGAGGCUAGAAACGUCCGACGCGGUGGAGAACUCAUGGGAGUCGAUAUGUUGCGACUUGAUUCCCAGCUGAGACUUAACGAAGAAGAAGAAGAAGAAAAAUAAGAGUAAAAGCAUGAAGACGACCCAACAAUCCCUGUCGUUAAGCUAUUUCCAUCUGGAGAGUUUCCUGAAGGUGAAAUCCAACAGUAUAAGGACAAGGAAGUUUCAUACAACUCUAUUUAGCUUUAAGGGAAUAUUUUUAAUACGUUUUAGUAUGCAAUAUGCGUGUCGAUAUAGUCCAUACAGCUUUUGUUUUUGCUUCUGUUGAACUUUAUUAGAUUUUAAGACUAUGGAUCUUGAUCUCUGUAAUGUAGCAAUUUGUGGAGAACAACAUCUGAAGAGGAGAGAGAUUUGGAGCGUUUGGACAAAAGCCAAUAUACAACUCUGUACGCCAGGCUGCAGAAGUUCAUAGCCAGGUUAGAAAAUAUGUAAGAAGCAUAGUGAAGCCUGGAAUGUUGACGACUGAUGUAUGCGAGACACUUGAGGAUACUGUUCGUAAACUUAUAUCAGAGAAUGGUCUGAAAGCUGGUAUUACUUUCCCUACAGGAUGCUCUUUGAAUUGGGUUGCUGCUCAUUGGACACCAAACUCCGGAGACAAGACUGUACUUCAAUACGACGAUGUUAUGAAAGUGGAUUUUGCAACACAUAUUGAUGGGGACAUCUUUCUGUAUGUGGGCUAUAUUAUAUUCUCAUACUGCGCCUUUUGUUUUUUUCCUGUUUAAUUUAGUGGUUAGUGGUGGGAACUAUUUUCUAAGGUAUCAUUGCAGUUUUCUAAAAUCUGCUAGCCAUAUUUAUCUUACGAGAGUUGGUAAAUUUAGACAUUAACAAUUACUGGCAGGAAUUGUUCAAAAAAAAAAAUUACCGGCAGAUAUACACUGAGUAGAAUCAUAAUUUUUGUCAUGUACACUCUCUUUUGUUCGAGGAACGAUAUUUUUCUCUUAGAGGAGCUGAUGACAUAUACUAUGUCAUUUUUGGGGUCUUUGCUAAUAAUUUUGAGUGCCUGUUUUAGUGGGUAAUGUUUUUUUUUUAGAAAUGGCUUUCAGUUCACCCAAAGCUCAUGGAAGAACCUUUAGAUGUUGCUGAAUGAUGAUUCAUAUAAUUCACCGGUGGGUCUAGACAGAAACGGAAUUGUCCUUCUGCUAUGGGAGAAUGGUACUUUAUGUGGCUCCAUAAGCCCUGACGAAUUGCUUUCUUAUGUGUCCCUUUUUUCUAAAGAGCAUCCCAGUUAAAGGCUUCUCUGAUCCAGCUCCAAUAAAAGCUCUCAGUUACACACAAUGUGUGCGCCCUAAGAAGUAAGGAAGCUGCGGUAGUUGUGUUUUGGAGUUUAAGCUAAUUCUUUUAUUUACUUGGAUAUCAGAUUUUCAAAGCUUUUGUUCACAAUAUAAUUUCUUUUUUGUUAUAUCAAUUUCCAAAAAUAAUGGCUAUAGCUAAAUAUAUCUUCUCAAA